GACAGAGGGUGCAAGCGUUGUUCGGAAUCAUUGGGCGUAAAGGGCGCGUAGGCGGUUCAAUAAGUCUAAUGUGAAAUACCUGGGCUUAACCCAGGAAGUGCAUUGGAUACUGUUAAACUAGAGUCUCGAAGAGGGUGGUGGAAUUCCCAGUGUAGAGGUGAAAUUCGUAGAUAUUGGGAGGAACAUCAGUGGCGAAGGCGUCCACCUGGUCGAAGACUGACGCUGAGGCGCGAAAGCGUGGGUAGCAAACAGG
rnacentral:rRNA from 1 species